rnacentral:rRNA from 1 species
GAACGCGAAAAUCCCUUCGGGGGUGAGUAGAGUGGCGUCCGGGUGAGUAACACGUAGGUAAUCUGCCUCCGGGUGGGGAAUAAAUCGCCGAAAGGCGAGCUAAUACAGUAUAAUGUAGCGGCACCUGAUGGUGAUUAGUUGUUAAAGCGGGGGAUCUCAAGACUUCGAGCCUGGAGAGGAGCAUGCGGCUGAUUAGCUAGUUGGUGAGGUAAUGGCUCACCAAGGUUAUGAUCGUUAGCUGGUAUGAGAGGACGGCCAGCCACACUGGCAUUGACAUACGGGCCAGACUACAUACGGGAGGCAGUCAGUGGGGAAUUUUGGGCAAUGGGCGAAAGCCUGACCCAGCUACGCCGCGUGAGGGAGGAAAUCCUUCGGGAUGUAAACAUAGCAAGCAGGGGAAGAGUAUCCUACCGGUAUAAGAUGCCGGAGGUUAGACGGGACCCUGCGGAAGCCACGGCUAACGACGUUG